AGUCCUAUAACUUAGUAGUUAGAAUAUUAGGGUAUUAACUUAAAGAUCGCAGGUUCGAAUCCUGCUAGGACCA
rnacentral:tRNA from 2 species